UGGAUGGACAAUAGGUUGUAUAACUAACUCUAUAUUCAUUCCAAAGAGGAAGUUAUUUAACUGAUUUCCUACUUCUACACCAGUUUUUGUUCCUAAGCCAUUACAUUUAGUGCUGUCUUUAUUCCUUCAUUCUAAAUCUCCUAAAACUUUCUUAAGAAUAAUCUUGACUCUUCCCAGUGCAUGUUUCUACCUUUCUCUGAGCAGAAAAACAAUUUCUUUAAAUUUAGCCUUCUGUCUUCAGUUACUCCAAUUUCACAAUGGCUAGAUUAGCCAUCUGCUCCACAGUCAACGUAAAAUAGCUGCCCAGCAGAUAAUUGCUAGAGAGUGUGACCUUAGACUCGUUUCUCAGCCAUACAUUAGGGAAACAGUAGUGUUGGAAGAGUUCUUGAAUGUCAGCCACCUACCCAUUUCUCUAAAUAUUGUAAGCUCUCCCCAUAGAUAAAACAAUAGACCUACAGAGAGUUACACACCUGGGUCACAUCAUUUUUGACCCUCACAAAACUGCUUUCAGCGAAUUCACUUUGUCAUGAUGCUACUGAGUUACGCUGAAGAAUGUUAAAAACAGUCUGUGAACUGUAGUGUUUCCUCCAGAGGUACGCUUGCAGACACUAUUUACUGCAUUUUGAGCAGUUCUGAUAUGAGAAAACAAGAGACAAGAAGUAUUUUCCAUGAAAUUGAUAAGAGAAGGUCAAAUGUUGCUUCAUGUUGUGUCAUGAAAAUUUAGGAAGAUAGGAUCUGACAAAUUGCAUAACUAGAAAAUAAGACAUAAAGCUUACCAAAGUUUAAGGGGAAACCUUUAACAUUUAAUGAAAGAUAGAAAUUGCACCAGCCCUUUGUGAAGACUAAAUGAUUGAUACUUCUAGAGUAGGAUAUAAACGCCCACCUCAAACUUUUCCUGGUUUAAUUCUCAAAACUUAAUGUAUAUAAUAUUUAGAUCUUAUUCAUACUCUAGUUUUGACCUAAACGGGAAGGUGUUUUUCGUUGUUGUUGUUUUUUGGUUUUGGUUUUUUUGUUUUUCCUUCUCUGUUGUCAAUUUGGCCCCUAAUAUUACCAGCCCCAUAAGAUGUCUGCUUCACAGAGGGGAAGCUGGGAACUACAUUUCCCAGAAUUCCCUCUCCAUCUGGUUUCUAGUUAAAGGCAGCUAAUGAGAGACACUUGAAAGAAAUUUGGAAAGUGAAAGCAAGGAUAAAUCAUUAAUCUCCAGAGACAGUUGUGGACAGACAUGUGGGAUGGUGUCAGAAGUAACAUUUGAAGUAAACUUCAGGUUAACUCCUUUCUAAGAACUGGUUGCUUAGGUGCUAUAAGCUAGGAUUGUUGGUGACAGCUUUCCUAGCCUCUGUUCCCUUAGCCCUUAUGGUAUUUGAGCAAUUCUUUACUUUUUCCAAUUUUACAACCAAAUAUAAGCCUUUAUAAUUGGAAUACAAAGUAGUUUCUUUUUUCUUGAUGGAUCCUUGACUGCAAACAACACUUCCCUUUUGUUAAAAUGAAGGAGCUUACUGCUGAUCUGACUGUUAAAACUCAUUUCAGCAGUGGAAAAUAACAUUAAACAAAAAACAAACAAAAUUGCAGUGAAAUGCAAUUGUGCCCACUUCUGCUCAAAUUCUGUUACUGUUGUACUAUGUCUGGAUGCUACCUAAGGAUAUGUAUUUUAGUUAUCUUCCCAGGAUGCUUCCGAUGUGAUUGACCUGUGAUUACCAUUUAAGAAAAAAACAAUGUAAAUCUUUGGGCUCUAUUAAAAUUCAACUCUUUCCUUAAUGUUUUAUGCCUUUUCAGUUGUUUAUUCCUUCACGUAAAUAAGGUGAGUCAAGGAUUUUAAACAGGUUGAGAGAUUAUAAGGAGAGGGCAUUCACUAUGCCCUGGGAACUUCGUGGGUAGAUAAAUGAAAAAGCUCAGAAUUCCAGAGAUUAACUUUUUAACAGUUUUUUUUUUUCUCAGAUAAACUAAGAGAAAAAGAAGUUGGACAACUAGUAGCAAGAAAAAUGAAAAAAGUGUAAGAAAUAACAUAUUUCCCUUGGGAACUUUUAGAAGUUUUGAACUAGACUGGAGGAAAGAAGUAAAUGCUUCAACCAACUGUCACUUGUCAGUGUCCAUUGAUUCACUGGAGUUGAGAGAGGACGAAAAGUCAAAUUUAGAAACACCCCUAGAAAAAGAAGCAAAAAGUCCUUCUACACCAAUGUUCUCUAUUUUGUAUUAUAAUUACAUCCAUUCCAGCAAUUGUAUCUUUGAAAGGAAUAAUAGAAAAGAAGCAUGCCAUGAACUGAAUGAAAAAAAAGCUGCCUAAUUCCCUAAGCUAUUAUAUCACAACAUCUGAAUUUAUGCAUAUGUUCAGAAUGGCUUCACAAGCUUGCAGAGUAGGACAUUAAUACCAGUGGGAGGUAUGAUUCACUACUUUAAUAUAUUCUUUUUAUGGAUUU